rnacentral:rRNA from 1 species
GACGAACGCUGGCGGCGUGCUUAACACAUGCAAGUCGAACGAAGUGGCGAACGGGUGAGUAAUACGUGAGUAACCUGCCCUCCUUUUUGGAAUAAGCCUUGGAAACGGGGUCUAAUACCGAAUAAAGGGGGAUGGGCUCACGGCCUAUCAGCUUGUUGUGGGGGUGAUGGCCUACCAAGGAGGAUACGGGUAGCCGGCCUGAGAGGUUGACCUGCCAAAUUGGGACAGCGAUACGGCCCAGACUCCUACGUGAGGAAUCAGCGGGCGAUAUAUCACGAUGGGCGAAAGACUGAUGUAGCGGCGCCGCGUGCGGGAUGAAGGCGUUCGGGUUGUAAACCUCUUUCGCUAUCUAACGGGUAGGUGGAGAAGAAGCGCCGGCUAACUACGUGCCAGCAGCCGCGGUAAUUC